GAUGAACGCUGGCGGCGUGCCUAAUACAUGCAAGCCGAGCGAACGGACGAGAAGCUUGCUUCUCUGAUGUUAGCGGCGGACGGGUGAGUAACACGUGGAUAACCUACCUAUAAGACUGGGAUAACUUCGGGAAACCGGAGCUAAUACCGGAUAAUAUUUUGAACCGCAUGGUUCAAAAGUGAAAGACGGUCUUGCUGUCACUUAUAGAUGGAUCCGCGCUGCAUUAGCUAGUUGGUAAGGUAACGGCUUACCAAGGCAACGAUGCAUAGCCGACCUGAGAGGGUGAUCGGCCACACUGGAACUGAGACACGGUCCAGACUCCUACGGGAGGCAGCAGUAGGGAAUCUUCCGCAACGGGCGAAAGCCUGACGGAGCAACGCCGCGUGAGUGAUGAAGGUCUUCGGAUCGUAAAACUCUGUUAUUAGGGAAGAACAUAUGUGUAAGUAACUGUGCACAUCUUGACGGUACCUAAUCAGAAAGCCACGGCUAACUACGUG
rnacentral:rRNA from 1 species